AUACGGAGGGUCCAAGCGUUAUCCGGAUUCAUUGGGUUUAAAGGGUCCGCAGGCGGGAAAAUAAGUCAGUGGUGAAAGCCUACAGCUCAACUGUAGAACUGCCAUUGAUACUGUUUUUCUUGAGUAUAGAUGAAGUGGGCGGAAUAUAUCAUGUAGCGGUGAAAUGCAUAGAUAUGAUAUAGAACACCGAUUGCGAAGGCAGCUCACUAAACUAUUACUGACGCUCAGGGACGAAAGCGUGGGGAGCGAACAGGAUUAGAAACCCGAGUAGUCC
rnacentral:rRNA from 1 species